CAGCCGCCACGGGAAUACGGAGGGAGCUAGCGUUGUUCGGAAUUACUGGGCGUAAAGCGCACGUAGGCGGCGAUCUAAGUCAGAGGUGAGAGCCCGGGGCUCAACCCCGGAAUUGCCUUUGAGACUGGAUUGCUUGAAUCCGGGAGAGGUGAGUGGAAUUCCGAGUGUAGAGGUGAAAUUCGUAGAUAUUCGGAAGAACACCAGUGGCGAAGGCGGCUCACUGGACCGGCAUUGACGCUGAGGUGCGAAAGCGUGGGGAGCAAACAGGAUUAGAUACCCCUGUAGUCCCUGUCUCUUAUAC
rnacentral:rRNA from 1 species